rnacentral:rRNA from 1 species
AGAGUUUGAUCAUGGCUCAGAGUGAACGCUGGCGGCAGGCCUAAUACAUGCAAGUCGAACGGCAGCACGGCAGAGCUUGCUCUGUGGGUGGCGAGUGGCGGACGGGUGAGGAAUACAUGGGAAUCUGCCCAGUCGUGGGGAUAACGUAGGGAAACUUACGCUAAUACCGCAUGCGCCCUUCGGGGAAAGCCGGGGACCUUCGGGCCUGGCGCGAUUGGAUGAGCCCAUGUCGGAUUAACUAGUUGGCGGGGUAAUGGCCCACCAAGGCGACGAUCCGUAGCUGGUCUGAGAGGAUGAUCAGCCACACUGGAACUGAGACACGGUCCAGACUCCUACGGGAGGCAGCAGUAGGGAAUAUUGGACAAUGGGCGCAAGCCUGAUCCAGCCAUGCCGCGUGAGUGAAGAAGGCCCUCGGGUUGUAAAGCUCUUUUGUCCGGAAAGAAAAGCGCCGGGUUAAUACCCUGGUGUCCUGACGGUACCGGAAGAAUAAGCACCGGCUAACUUCGUG